rnacentral:rRNA from 1 species
AAGCGGUGGAGCAUGUGGUUUAAUUCGAUGAUACGCGAGGAACCUUACCCGGGCUUGAAAUGCAUCUGACCGGCCUUGAAAGAGGUUUUCCCUUCGGGGCAGAUGUGUAGGUGCUGCAUGGUUGUCGUCAGCUCGUGCCGUGAGGUGUCGGCUUAAGUGCCAUAACGAGCGCAACCCUCAUCAUUAGUUACCAUCAGGUAAGGCUGGGGACUCUAAUGAGACUGCCAUCGUAAGAUGUGAGGAAGGUGGGGAUGACGUCAAAUCAGCACGGCCCUUACGUCCGGGGCGACACACGUGUUACAAUGGGUGGUACAAAGGGCAGCUACCUGGCGACAGGAUGCUAAUCUCCAAAACCACUCUCAGUUCGGAUCGGAGUCUGCAACUCGACUCCGUGAAGCUGGAUUCGCUAGUAAUCGCGCAUCAGCCACGGCGCGGUGAAUACGUUCCCGGGCCUU